rnacentral:rRNA from 1 species
UACGUAGGGGGCGAGCGUUAUCCGGAAUCAUUGGGCGUAAAGCGCACGUAGGCGGUUCGUCAAGUUCAUUCUGACACUUCUCGGCUCAACCGAGAACGGGGGAUGAAAACUGGCGAACUUGAGAGCGAGAGAGGGACAUGGAACUCCAGGUGGAGCAGUGAAAUGCGUAGAGAUCAUGAGGAAGACCAGUGGCGAAGGCGGGUCUCUGGACAGUUCCUGACACUGAGGCACGAAGGCCAGGGGAGCAAACGGG